UGCCAGCAGCCGCGGUAAUACCGGCAGCCCGAGUGAUGGCCGAUCUUAUUGGGCCUAAAGCGUCCGUAGCUGGCUGCGCAAGUCCGUCGGGAAAUCCACUCGCCCAACGAGUGGGCGUCCGACGGAAACUGCACUGCUUGGGACCGGAAGGCUCGAAGGGUACGUUCGGGGUAGGAAUGAAAUCCCAUAAUCCCGCACGGACCACCGAUGGCGAAAGCACUUCGAGAAAACGGAUCCGACAGUGAGGGACGAAAGCUAAGAUCGCGAACCGGAUUAGAAACCCGGGUAGUCC
rnacentral:rRNA from 1 species